CACUUUUCACUCGGCACAGAUGCUCUUCUUUAUCUCUGCCUCUGUGGAUUUCGCCCCCAGUGUCACUCUGCAGGUAAAGACGCCAUCGCUGUCCCACUCUGAGGGCUUCACACUCAGGAAGCUGCUCAGACCAAAGGUUUUAUCUGCCUGCUGUGUAG